ACUAAUAUUUACAACAAUAAUAAUCGUGGUUUCAUAUGGCAAAAAUAAUAAUAAGGAACAUAUAAUCCCAGCGCUGUCCCAAGCACAUCUGGGCUUGGUGAAAGGCAUGCUAAUGCUCAAGCAGUGCAGCAGGUGGGUAAGCAACAGGGCUAUGAAGAUUAAUGAAAACUUGGUCCAACGGGCCCACUACUUAAAGAAAUGGGCGGGGGGGUGGUGGAGAGUGGUGGCGUGUGUGUGCUGCAUGAUCCCAAGUAGCAGUGUUUAAUGCCUGCCUUCCUGCCUUGGAAUUCUUCAGGAAUGUUGAAUUCUGAAAAUUGUUGAUGAAGAAACUAAACCAGUGACGAACUUGCAAACCAGUCCUGAACUUCAACGAGAAAGCAUAUCUCAUUAAUAUGAUUCAUUUUCUUUAUUCUUAACUAUGCUUAUUCCAAACCAUGAUUGCUAGAACCUGUUCUUUCACAGAAAAGCUUUACUCGAACCAAGGUGACAGGUUGCUGCUGCCUUCCUACAAGCACAGUUGCACCAAGCCCCUUCAGGGCUGAAUAAUGCUUGACUCACUGCUGAGGCUGGAAGUGCAUUCCCAACCGGUUAAACGUGCUUUGAAGUGCAGUUGAAUGACGUCACUCCUCAUGUGGUUUGGAUACAUUAACUUGAGAGUAUGUAACGUGUCUGCCUCAGCCAUAAAUUUGUGAAUUAUUUCACACAUGUACAUAGACAGCUUCUUGACUGUUUGCCUCACAGUUAUCUUGCUGCAACGGACACAGACUUUCAAUGCAACUCAACCUUGCCUCGGCACUGCCACAUCGCAGGGCUGCUACCAAUGGGAGAAAAACAAUUGGACGGGAUGGGGUCUCCCUCUUGGAUCCCACGGUCUCUGCAAACUGCUUACCUGCACAGCAGUUCUACCCUGCUGCAGUAAGCAGAAUUCGGGAUGGAGUAGCUGGUCCCUGUUCUACCACUCAGCAUCAUAAUGAGAUGCCAACAUUCUGCCAUGAGCUCCAGCCUCAGUCAGUGUUGCUGCAACCUUCUUAUCCACGUGCAGCACGGACUCGGUCCUGCUUUCAGCGAGCCGCACUUCCCCGGCCUGGUCGCCCUUCCCCAGUUAUUCCACAACAAAUGGCACAGUUACCAGCCCGGCAACUACUAUGCCGCGGAACUGCGAGGUGGCAGACGGUGCAACCAAAUGGCACUGUCCAGCAUCAUCCCAGUCGCCAACCGUAUGAUGGGCAAGUUCCUUUCCAUACUUCCCCUUCGCUUACCAAGGAUUGUCAUGACCUGCUGGUGUCUGGUGUACUCUGCCAAGGGAUGCCACCCUAUGCAUACACAGGUGUACCACAGUCCCAACGUGUUGCAGCUGGUGAAUACUGCCUCCUCAAUGGUCCACAGAUUGGAUCAACCCCAAAUGCUUCUUUUCAACUUCAUCAACAGACAAGUGGCAGUGCACAGCAUUUGCGUAACAACAGCUUGCCUCUGCAAUCUGUAGAUGGCUUGUCAAUGGGCUUGACAACCAAUGGACAACCCUGUAAUACCAGGAUUGGUGGCUUUCCACUACACUCUUGGCAAGAACAAGAUGGUCACCCAAUGGCAAGCCCUCAGUUUCUCCAGGAUGAGAGGACGCGAGAGAAGCAGGAUUAUUUGAAGUCAAAACGCCAAGGGCAGGGUAAGAAGACACACAGACCCCAAAGCGUAAAGAAUUCUGAGCAACCAGACUAUGAAGAAGUUUGGGCAACUGGAACCUGCUGAAUAUCUUUGAAGUGCUAAUCAUGGCAACUGUAACAAUCCUGGAAUGACAUUGCUGCAAUUCCAUAGCAGACAUGGACAGCGGCCUUGGAGGACAGACAGGACAAAUGGCAUGAAUUGCUGUGGAUUUGCAUGUUUGAAUGAUUUUUCAACUUAAGUUUUGAACCAAAGUAAUAUUUUGAAAUCUUUUUUGACAAAUGAGAUGGAUUGUGUACAUGUUUUUACUGGGUGCAAGGCGCUUGAAGAGAAAUAUGGUUUAUGCUCGUUAAUUUUUAUUUUAAAUUAGCACCCUUUCUCAGGGUUAUCCGCCGAGGCCUUUACUCCACAUUGAUCAUUCCCAUGCUUCUACUCGGUAAUCUAUUUUGCUCGCUCAUGCCAUGUUUAUUGUUUCAUUUAAGACUGCUUGCAAACUCUUUUGCACAUUUUCUAAUUCAGGAUCAUAACAACUUGUAGUUUCUGUCAGUCAUUUUUAAAAGAAAAUGAAAAGAUUAUAUCUGUGAUCCUGGCUUAAUGAAACUCUUGAAAAUUUCAAUGAAACUCUUCUCUAUAUUGUUCUGCGUUUAGAAAACUUUAUUACACAUGGCAAAGCAAACUUUUAUUUUCUUCUGUUUCUGCGAAGUUUAUUUUGAUGAAAUUUAUCGGGAUUCUUGUUAAGUUGUUAUUUUUUAUCUCACUGCUGAUUUUCAUUUAUGCAUGUUUUAAUUAUAAAUGGAUAUAUGAUGGAAGUUUGCUUUGGGGUUGGGGACAAGAGGGAAAACUUUUUUUCGACAGUCCCCCCCGCCCCAACCCCCGCCAUGUACUUUGGUUAAUCUACAGGACGUAUCUUAAUUAUGAAUGGAAUUUUGAACGUCUCAACAUGUAUGAAUAGUGGGGGUUCUGGAUGUAAAAACAAAAUUGUUGUUUGGCUAUUUAAGAAGGCUGGAGGACAAACGACUUGACAACGUCUCCAAUUGUGAGAUGUUUAUAUGGCUAGUUUUAUUCGUUUUUCAUAUGAUACAAGGCAUUUAUGCCAUUUGUAGUUGCACAAACACAAGACAAUAGAAAAAAAAAAUCAAGUAUGGUUCACCAAUAUUUGAGGUUUCCAUUCUAAUAUUAUUGAUCGCUCCAUUCAGGUUUCUGCUGCUGCUCUAGAUAUUCUACAUUGAACGAAACGUUUUUCUCAUAAGAUGUCUCCUCUUCCUCCGUUUCUCUCCCUGGUUAUUCUCUCUGUUCCGCUUUGACAGGCCCCUCCCCCACUCCGGAAGUCGUGUUGCUGUAUAUGUCAAGAACUCCGUUGCUCAUUGUCCUCACUAACCCCUCCAAAGCCUUCUGGCUGCAUAUACCUCUCCACACCCACCUAAUGUUUGCCUGUGUGGUAUACCAUCCACCAAAUGAUAACAACUCUCUAGACACCACUAUUUCCUCAAACAUAGAUCAAAUCUUUGCAACCCAUACUAAUUGUCUGUUUCUCAUCUGCGACAAUUUCAACUGUCACCAUACCAGCUGGCAGGAUGUUGGCUCGACAACAACCAGAGAUGUAAUUCCAGCAAAGGCCUUUUGCGACUCUGUGGGUUUGACCCAAUCUAUAAAAUUCCCAACAUGGAUUCCUCCUCCUGGUACGUCCUUCCUUCUGGAUCAAGUAAUGACUAACUUUCCAUCAAAUCUCUCUUGUUCUUUUUAUGCCCCCACUUGCUCUUCUAAUAACUUUCUUGUCAAGGCCCAUAUCUCUGGCUAUUGUAAGGGAGGAACCUCAAUAACGCAGGAUAUGGCUGUUUGCACAAAUCAACUGGCAGGGUCUUCAAUCUCACACAAAAAAUUGGACCACCAUCUCCACAGCACCUGAUUUUGAUUGUGUGGGGAUAGUUACAAAAGUCCACUUUCUCUCAUGCACCAGUUUAUUCCAUCUCAUCUUCAACUUUCCGAUUUACCCUCUUGAUCCGGAUAUAAUGAAUCCUGUGGGGAAGCAGUUGCAGUCAAGCAUCUUUCAUUGUCUGCUUGGAAAGCGAACCCGACUGAUUUGCUUUCAUUCCAUACGGUUCGCAACAAGUGUGGGUCCAUCUUGAGGCAAGCCAGAAAACAUCAUCUUGCAAAUCUCAAGGCCGAACUCUCCAAGCAGUCUCCUUCCUCCAACUCAUGGUGGCACUUUGUCAAGUCCAUCUCUCGUGUUUGCUCCCCCUCCAUCCCAUCCCUCACCUCAAAUAGUUGUACUGCAGACUCUGCCCGAGAUAAGGAAGAAAGUCAAAACUCUGUCUUUGCCUCCAAUCUCAUGUACCCAACCCAUUCUGCGCUGUCUGCAUCUUACCCCAACACACCCAUCUUACCCCAACACACCAAUCUUGCCCUGUAUAUUGGCUUUUGUGUCCUCAUCCAAGGAUGUAGAUAAAGUACCAGCUGACCUUGACCCUGCUUUGGCGACAGGCCCAGAUGUCAUUGAUGCCCUUGUUCUAGAAUCCUGCGAUGCUGUUCUUGAUCACCCUCUAUCUGCCCUCUUCAGUCUGUCCUUUUAUCACAACCUUCUCUUCUGUCCCCCACCCCCAACCCUCUCUUCAGGGAAAUCAUCAAACAUCACUCCCAUCCAUGAGAAGGGUGCAAAAGCGAACCCUGCAAAAGAAGCAUUUGACACAGUCUGGCAUCCUGAGUUCCUUGGCAAGCUCUCUGCCUGUAGCAUACAUUGAUGGCCUCCUUCAAUCCUGGGUUUCUGAAUUCCACUACUCAUUCAGUCAACGUGUUGCCAAUAAAUGGAACCCUCUCCCAGUGGAAGCUGGAGUUCCCAAAGGCAAUGAUUUGGGCCCAGUCUUGUUCCUUAUCUCUGUUAGUGGCUUCUCUCAUGCUCUGAGAAACCCUCUCUUCCUUGCAGCGAACUCCACACUGUGUUGUACAGUACCCCCAACCUGGCAGACAACAACGACGUCUCUCUCUUUGCUGAUCUGGAAAUGAUUAGACUCUGGUCUGACAAACGAAACUUGUGCUUCAAACCUGGAAAAUCCCACAGCCUCACCCUAUCGCUUCAGAAUGAUCGUCAAAUGAACCGACCUAUGGAAGUGGUUCAGUCUCUUGAAAUCCUCGGCUUCGUAGCAAAGCUGGCCUUCAAAGCCAGCCGCAGACUGGACAUCCUCAAUCAUUCCAAAUACUUCCUUGGAAAAUAAGAGCUAUUCAGUCUACAAGGCUUUAUUUGUAGCUCAAUGGCAUACUGCCGUCUGUUGUGGGCCGGUGCUCAUUCCAGUGUCACGUCUGUGUCUCCUGAAUUAUGUGGAAUCUAAAGGUCUUAGAAUGAAUGUAAUCUCCCACUAUGCCGAUGAUGCCGAAACACAAGGUUUGUUGCUCUCACAUCACCAGCAGGUCAGUGGUCUCUCUGUUUUCUGCCAUCUAUUCUCCAACAUUGCUCCCUCUGCUCUCUCAGUCUGACUUUCCCCAGCAACUCCUGGAUGCACGCAGUCUUCCAGUAACCCCGUCCUUCCAAAAACCAGAUGUAUGCCUGACUCCACACUUCAACUAUUUUAUUCCUUUUCCGUGUGUGUGUGUGUGUGUGUGCGUGCGUGCGUGUCCCUUUCCUGUUAUACCCUUGCCCGUUGUCCCAGAUAUUGCCUCACUUCCCCCCUGUCAAUUUAACCUUGCUCUUCCAGGAGCCUUGUUCUUGCAAAAAUAAAAUACAAUAUAAAAGAUGAUUGAUCUCUGCUAACUGCUGUGGGCAGCAGGGAGGAAGGAGAAAACCUCAAUGAAUGUCUUAUUCAUUUCAUCCAUGGUUUUUCCUGUCUUCCAACGCAGAUUGACACUUGCCAUCAUCUGCAAUACAGGUUCAUUGCACAAAUAUAAACCACUGGUUCUAAGUUUGGAAUGUUUCAAUCCCUGCCUAUAUUGGCAGUAUUGCCCGUUGGACGUUGAGCAUCAACAGUACCUUUCCAAUACCAGUUUGAUUUCUGUUUGGUUGUGACUUAUUUAACAUGACCAUUUAAUGCAGUAUUUGUCUGUUACCAAUAAAUGUCAUGUUGCAUAACUUGCAUUUAAUUUCAACGACAUUUGUUUCUGCAAAAGGAAACUUAGAUUAUCUUUUCUCAUGGAGACAGAUUUGUUUUAACAUUAUUGAAGUGACUUCUCACCACAGAUAAAAAGGUGUGUGUGU
rnacentral:lncRNA from 1 species